rnacentral:lncRNA from 1 species
UUGGUACCCAUGAAUGGGACCUAUUUGGAAAUAGGAUCUCUGCAGAUAUCACCACGUUAAGAACCUUGGGAUGACAUCACCCAGGACGGCCGCCAGGAAACAUCUCACUGGGGUCAAGACUGCCCUUUUUGAGAAAUCUUCUCUCUGAUUAUCUGCAAGAAAAAAAAAGUGCUCCUGAUGGAAGCUGAGCUGUGAAUUAGCAGAGUACAGAUCCCUUCAAGUCCCAGGCAGUCGUGUGCCUCCAGACCAGCCCUGCUCUGUGUAAGGACAACGAGAGGUGACGCGUGACCCACCCCACUGUGUGGCACCUGGAGUGAUGUUGGCUGCCUCUGUCUGGUCAGUGGCUGCUCCUGUAGGUCAUUGUUGUCCCCUGACUGAGCACGGAGGUCCAGGGCCAGGCAGGUCAGUGAGCCCAGGAGGAGCUGGGCAGGGGGUGCUGCCUGCCCACCUGCAGCUGGUGAGUAUAGGGCCUUCUGGGAUAGGAGGAGGUGACCAAGGGGCUCCACUCAGCUUCGGGAGCUCUGGGAGGAGCAUUCUGGACAGAACCCUCUGUUCGGGAGUGUGGAAUACGGCGGUGGCGCACCUGUGCCCUGCCAUCACUGGAGAGGCAGGGCGGUGGGGAUGCCUGCCAUGGCCCUGGGCACCUUGGGUGUCACCUCAAGGGCCUGAGAGCACUGGGGGGGGGCCUCCCGGGGGCUGCUGGGUGCUGUCAGGUGGAGUCUGGGCCCCGCAGGGUUGGAGAGGACCAGGUGGGGCCCCCAUAGUGGGUCCUUCCUCUGAGGCCCCAAUUUCCUGACCUGUAAACUGACCUUGGGCUUCUAUUCCAGGUGCAGAGGGCCAGCCAGUUGCUCCGACACAGCGAUCCCGAGUGUGCCCUGUCCAGGCCUGUGGCAUUGUCCUGGUGACCAGUGUCAUGGGGCCAUGCCCACUCAGAGCCAGUACUGGAUGGGGAAGAAGCAAACAGAAGAUGCCCUGGAUCCUAUCAAAGGAAUUGAUUGCUGCCCUGAAAUCUAUGGAGAAGGCUGAUUUGAAUCAUUAUGUUGCUCCAUUGCGGUCAGAUGCACUGGCAGUGGCUCCGAGGUUUUCAGGCAAGACCGGACUGCAAACGAAGAUUCCUGAUCCCACCUGGCCCUUGUAGCUAAAUGAUUCAUUCUUCUCGAGGACCCAGGGACGCUCGAUCACCUUCUCAGAGCUGUCAUCCAAGGUCCAGGCUAAUGGAUGGGAUUACCAAGGGGCGGAGGUCUGAGGGUCUCCAUACUCAAGGAGGGAGAGUCACGGGGUCCCCCCCCUUCCUGAAGGGCCGUGCUCCCAUGAAUUGGAAAAGAAAAUGAGCACAGAAGAGACACUUGGUGCCAUUCAAUUACCUGCCUGGUGGAGUGGGGUGUGUUGUUUCAGAACACAUUCUCACUGUAAUGCACUUCAGAUUUGGGAACAAGCACUAGCUGGGAGCUGGUUCUGUAGCCCCUACAUAUGGAGGAGGUGCUACCUGUUGUCUCAGCUGUGGAGCCCUGGGCCCCCUCUUCCUGGUGACCACAUCCCCAAAUCCUCGUAACAACUGCCCAGAUCCAGUGCAAAAGUGCAUCUUGUGCUUUGGAAGUUCUAAGAAGGUAGCUUUUGAUGCAGAAAAUGAACCAAGUAACACAGCAGGCUAAUCCAACCUUGAAGACCUGGGUACAUGGAGUCUAGGGUUUAGUUCCAGCAAUGCCCCUACAGGGCAUUUCUGGACAGGAAGUCAGUGUGUUGGAGGCAUUGGAUUCUGGUGACUAUUCACAGUCACCAAGAAAUGGCAUUGACCUGAAGGUCCACCCAUGGAUAGGUGGGUGAAGAAAAUGCUGUAUGUGAUCCCAGCACUCUGAGUGGCUAAGGUGGGAGGAUUGAACAUUUGAGCUUGGGCAACUUAGAGAGACCAGUUUCAAAAUAAGAAAAAAAAAUAAAGGGUUGGGGAUGUAGCUCAGUGCAAAAAGCCUUGGGUUCAGUCCCCAGUACUGAAAAAGAAGAAAAAAAAAAAAGAAAAGAAAAGAAGGAAAGGGAAAGAAGUGGUACAUACUGUGGAAUACUAUGCAGCCCUAGCAAGAAAGAAGCCAGCAUGUCGAGCAGCCUGAAUGAGCCUGGGUAGGAGGUGCUGGGGGAACAGGCCCACCCACCACAGUAGUACGCAUCCCGUAUGGCCCCCACUCCGGCACGGAACUGGAAGAGCUGCACUCAGAGCCGGGGAGACUGGGGGUCACUGGGCAAGGUGGGCAGGGGAAGACGUGGUGCUGGUCAGAGGACCAAAGGUUUCGGUGGGCCAGGAGGAGAAGCGCUCAGCCUUGGAAACACGAGUCCAGUGUCCCCACAUUGUAC